GACGGGGGAUGCAAGUGUUAUCCGGAAUCACUGGGCGUAAAGCGUCUGUAGGUGGUUGCAUAAGUCAACUGUUAAAUCUUGAGGCUUAACCUCAAAAUCGCAGUCGAAACUGUUUGACUAGAGUAUAGUAGGGGUAAAGGGAAUUUCCAGUGGAGCGGUGAAAUGCGUAGAUAUUGGAAAGAACACCGAUGGCGAAGGCACUUUACUGGGCUAUUACUAACACUGAGAGACGAAAGCUAGGGUAGCAAAUGGG
rnacentral:rRNA from 1 species